rnacentral:rRNA from 1 species
CGGGGUGGAAGCGCGGCAACGUGUGCAGCUGACGAGUACUAAUCGGUCGAGGGCUUAUCCAAAUA